GGGGGGGGGGGGGGGGGGGGCGAGGGGGGGCGGGUCGGGCGGGGGGGCGGGGGGCUGGCGGCGGUGGGGUUAGCGGGGGGCGGGUGGGUGACACGUGGGUAACCUCCCUAUAAGACUGGGGGAACUGCGGGACACCGGAGCUCAUCCCGGAUAAUAUUUUGAACCGCCUGGUUCAAGAGUGCAAGGCGGUCUUGCUGUCACGUAUAGAUGGAUCCGCGCUGCAUUAGCUAGUUGGUAAGGUAACGGCUUACCAAGGCAACGAUGCAUAGCCGACCUGGGAGGGUGAUCGGCCACACUGGAACUGAGACACGGUCCAGACUCCUACGGGAGGCAGCAGUAGGGAAUCUUGCGCAAUGGGCGAAAGCCUGACGGAGCAACGCCGCGUGAGUGAUGAAGGUCUUCGGAUCGUAAAACUCUGUUAUUAGGGAAGAACAUAUGUGUAAGUAACUGUGCACAUCUUGACGGUACCUAAUCAGAAAGCCACGGCUAACUACGUG
rnacentral:rRNA from 1 species